rnacentral:rRNA from 1 species
CAGCAGCCGCGGGAAUACGAAGGGUGCAAGCGUUAAUCGGAAUUACUGGGCGUAAAGCGUGCGUAGGCGGUUUGUUAAGUCUGUUGUGAAAUCCCCGGGCUCAACCUGGGAAUGGCAAUGGAUACUGGCAAGCUAGAGUGUGUCAGAGGAUGGUGGAAUUCCCGGUGUAGCGGUGAAAUGCGUAGAGAUCGGGAGGAACAUCAGUGGCGAAGGCGGCCAUCUGGGACAACACUGACGCUGAGGCACGAAAGCGUGGGGAGCAAACAGGAUUAGAUACCCGCGUAGUCCCUGUCUCUUAUAA